GAGUUAAACAGGGUUAAUCACCUACAGUAUGGAGGUAAACAGGUUAAUCACCUACAGUAUGGAGGUAAACAGGUUAAUCACCUACAGUAUGGAGGUAAACAGGUUAAUCACCUACAGUAUGGAGGUAAACAGGGUUAGUCACCUACAGUAUGGAGUUAAACAGGGUUAAUCACCUACAGUAUGGAGGUAAACAGGUUAAUCACCUACAGUAUGGAGGUAAACAGGGUUAAUCACCUACAGUAUGGAGGUAAACAGGGUUAAUCACCUACAGUAUGGAGGUAAACAGGUUAAUCACCUACAGUAUGGAGGUAAACAGGUUAAUCACCUACAGUAUGGAGGUAAACAGGGUUAAUC